rnacentral:rRNA from 1 species
GAUCAUGGCUCAGGAUGAACGCUAGCUACAGGCUUAACACAUGCAAGUCGAGGGGCAGCAUGGCCUUAGCUUGCUAAGGCCGAUGGCGACCGGCGCACGGGUGAGUAACACGUAUCCAACCUGCCGUCUACUCUUGGACAGCCUUCUGAAAGGAAGAUUAAUACAAGAUGGCAUCAUGAGUCCACAUGUUCACAUGAUUAAAGGGUAUUCCGGUAGACGAUGGGGA